rnacentral:lncRNA from 13 species
UAGAGAUCCACUUUUCAUUUCUAGUAUCUGUACUCGUCUUAGGUAGUGAGUGAGAUGUAUGAGCAGUGAAGAUUCUACUUCAUAUGUGAUUAAAUAUGAAAGACAGCAAGCAACAUGCUGUCUCUCUUUUCUAAACCAUCCCACAUGCAGUGUAACUAACACUUCUCUUUAAAUGGCAGUAAGCAGAAUGCCUAAAGGUGCAUAAAAAGACAAAAAAUUCCUGCCAAUCUUCAGUGGUGGUAGAGAAGUGUUCACACUCACUGCCCUUGCCCCCGCCAAAGGACCCACCAGUCUAUGCCACAGUCUGCAAGAGGCAGAAAGCUGCCAGACCACCAGUUGCUAGGGUUAGGGUGAAUUGUAGGAAAUCACAGCUUAGGUUUAUAUAAAAUACAUGCAGGAGAUGGUAAUUGGGCAGUCUUCACUUAAGUCAUAUAUAAUGUACUGUUUCCUACAGUGUUGUUGUUUUUUUUUUUUUUUUUUGGUCAUUUAUUGUAUGGUAGAAAUCUGCAACUAUUUAUAUAUUAUUGUUUGGUAGUAUUUUUAUGUUUUGUCAUAAUAUUUAGGCAAUACUGAGCUCUGAAAGACAAAAGUGCCUAUCUUUCAAAAAAUUAAAAACUUAAUUUCUAAUUAUCAAGAAAGUUCACAAGGAACAUGUAAUUUUGAAAAAAUGUUAGUUGACAUUUAUCAUCACUGACUACAUGAAACCCAAGACACAAUCUACUAAAGGAGAAUCAGCAUCUACUUCAAAACUGAGUCAUUAUUUUAAGAGUAAUGUGCCUAAAAGCAAUUAUUUUAUAAAUUCAGCUGCCAUGUGUGUAUUUCAUAUCACUCAUGCAGUUCAGUUAACUUCUUGUUUUAUUGUGUUUUUGGCUUGCAAGUUUUGUUGUGCAUAUUUGAAAAGGGAAAAGUCAGGUACCACUUUACAAUGUUUUGGUCAAUGACAGAACACAUAUAAGAUGCUGGUCCCAUACGAUUAUAAUGGAGAUGAAAAUUCUCUAUCACCUAGUGACUCUCUAACUGUCCUAAUGUUGAGGUACAAUGUAUUACUCGGUAGUGAUGGAGUAAGCAAACCUACUGUGCUGUUAAUGGUAUGACAGUAUAGCACAUAUAGGCCGGGUGGGGUGGCUCAAGCCUGUAAUCCCAGCACUUUGGGAGGCCGAGGCGGGUGGAUCACGAGGUCAAGAGAUUGAGACCAUCCUGGUCAACAUGGUGAAACCCCGUCCCUACUAAACAU